rnacentral:rRNA from 1 species
GAUGAACGCUGGCGGCGUGCUUAACACAUGCAAGUCGAACGAUGAUCCGGUGCUUGCACCGGGAUUAGUGGCGAACGGGUGAGUAACACGUGAGUAACCUGCCCUUGACUCUGGGAUAAGCCUGGGAAACUGGGUCUAAUACCGGAUAUGACUCCUCAUCGCAUGGUGGGGGUGAAGCUUUAUUGUGGUUUGGAUGGACUCGCGGCCUAUCAGCUUGUUGGUGAGGUAAUGGCUCACCAAGGCGACGACGGGUAGCCGGCCUGAGAGGGUGACCGGCCACACUGGGACUGAGACACGGCCCA